AUUGAACGCUGGCGGCAGGCCUAACACAUGCAAGUCGAAUGGUAACAGGAAACAGCUUGCUGUUUCGCUGACGAGUGGCGGACGGGUGAGUAAUGUCUGGGAAACUGCCUGAUUGAGGGGGGUAACUACUGGAAACGGUAGCUAAUACCGCAUAACGUCGCAAGACCAAAGAGGGGGACCUUCGGGCCUCUUGCCAUCAGAUGUGCCCAGAUGGGAUUAGCUAGUAGGUGGGGUAACGGCUCACCUAGGCGACGAUCCCUAGCUGGUCUGAGAGGAUGACCAGCCACACUGGAACUGAGACACGGUCCAGACUCCUACGGGAGGCAGCAGUGGGGAAUAUUGCACAAUGGGCGCAAGCCUGAUGCAGCCAUGCCGCGUGUAUGAAGAAGGCCUUCGGGUUGUAAAGUACUUUUAGUGGGGAGGAAGGGAGUAAAGUUAAUACCUUUGCUCAUUGACGUUACCCGCAGAAGAAGCACCGGCUAACUCCGUG
rnacentral:rRNA from 1 species